ensembl:rRNA 5S_rRNA 5S ribosomal RNA
GACUACGGCCAUGCUGCGCUGAACAAGCCUGAUCCCAUCUGAUCUCGGAAGCAAAGCAGGGUUGGACCUGGUUAGUACUUGUAUGGGAGACCGCCCAGGAAAACCAGGUACUGUAGGCA